CAGUACUAGACAGAGACAAAGAUGGUGUUAUCAGUAGAGAUGAGAUGAUGGAUUAUUUUCUUAGUGCCAAUACUUCACUGAGAGAGAGUUUCAAGCACAAUUUUGUAGAGCACACGUUCAUUGGUACACAAUACUGCCAGCACUGCAAAGGAGUGUUAAAAGGUAUAGUCCGUCAAGGUGUUCGUUGUAAGGAUUGUGGUAUCAGUUGUCACAAACACUGUAAAGACUAUGUUGUGGUUGAUUGCAGCAAACACACCGAAAAGAAAAGUA